GGGGUUAUAGCUCAGCUGGGAGAGCGCUUGAAUGGCAUUCAAGAGGUCAGGGGUUCGAUCCCCCUUAACUCCA
rnacentral:tRNA from 1 species